AUUCACAAGAUUCACCAAGUUCUUAUUCUAAUAAUUUGGCUGUGUACUCGGCAUAAAAUUAUAUUGCAACUUUGAGAGAUUGAUCAAGAUCAUAUGGUGGCAUUCAAAAGGGGACCAAGAAAUUACAUUCUGUAAAAUAAUGCAACCAUUGAAAAGACGGGCGGGGAUUUUAGAAUUAUAUUGCGACACAGUUCAUUUCUAUUUCACGAAUGAAGAUACAAUUGGUAGCGAAUCGUCGAUUUAUAAUUAGUUUCAGACAAAAAACAGCUGCUUAUAUUCAAUUUUGAGAACCAAACUUGCACUGAUAAUAGCAAGAUAGCGGGCAAUGCCAAUGGAGAUACGAAGGGUAAUGAAAAGGAGAUGGACUCAGAAAGGGAAUGAGGGUAGAGAGAAUUUUGCAACAUUAAUAUGCAUGCCCCAUUCUUGCUAACCCUAUUACUUUUUUUUACCAAAUCCCUGAUUGCACCCCUAUCUUUAACAAGCCUACUGACCGGGAUCCCAGAUAUAAUCUGUUAACCUUUGUGAAGACCUGGCCCUAUUGUUUCUUCUCAGCCCAAACGCUAUUUAUGUGAUAUCCACAUCUAACUAGAGUUGAUUCAUGGCAAUAACCCAUCCGCAACAAGAACCUCAUCAUCAGGGUUCGAGUAAGGAUAAAUUGAUAUCAUAGUAGUGAUUCUUUUUUUUUUUUUGAUGACAAGGGAAUCCACAACCUCUACCCUUUACGUGCGCACAGGGUAAAACCCCCGCUCCUAUGCAAUAGCUCGCAAACCACAUAGGAGAGGUAAACCACACUAAGCAAGCUCGGUGCGACGAGCUCGACCCAGAAGGCAAAACCCCUUGCUUCCGCUAGCAAGGGGUUUCGGGCUUGAGACCUCCAACAUGGAAGUCCCAAGCACAAACCACUGGGCCACCCCGAAGGGUCAGUGAUUCUAUUUUGACUUGAAUGUGGAUCAGGCACUACCUCUCAAUAAGAUAUAGGUCUACAGAACCGCUAGUAAACAAACCCAUGAGAACAAUAUAGUUAAGAUGCAAGGCUCAAUGGCUCGAAUUCUUCUUUGACUUUGUACAAUAGAACAUUAGGGGAUAACUCUUCUACAGAUCCAACCAACUUUACUUAUCUCUGCCCAAGUAAGUGAGUUGGUUUAGUUCUUUAUAGUUGUACUUUAGUUAUUUGACUUAUCUAUACUUAUUAACCUUUAAAUUUAUUUUUCUAUAAUUGAAUGGUGGUCGAUAUUUGGUAGUCAAACUCCAACCUUGCAAAAGUUUGCCAGGAAAGUAUCAAGUGUAAAUUGCAGCUCAUUUGGAUGUGAGUGAAAUUGGAGUGUGUUUGAACAUAUUCAUUCAAAAGAGAAGUAGCCUAGCGUUAUCACAUCUCAAUAAUCUAGUGUACAUCAAGUACAAUAGAACACUGAAACGUCAUUAUGAUGCUUGUGAUACCAUUGAUGCAAUUGCCUUGGAUAAUAUUGAUGAGGCAAAUGAAUGGUCUAUCGUCUUAGGGGACGUUCUUGAAGUUCAAGGUCGCUUAACUAGGGCAAGGAGUACAUACUACUACAUUUACAAGUUCAAGUCAGACUCAGACCCUAACUUAUCAAGAAUCUGCCGAGGAAGAAGAUGAGGAGCAAUAUAUAACUGAAUCUUGCACUUCAAAAAUUUGAAAAUCUUGAAGAAGAAUAGACUUCUAGAGUUCUAAUAUUGCUUGUCAAUUGUCUUAUGAAUUAUCAAAUCAUUCAAUCUCUAGAUUUUAGCAUCUACCAUUAUUUUUUGAAUUGAAAUAUUUGUUAAUGUGUUAUUACUACUGAGAUUUUGGUUAUUUAUGCAUGCAA